rnacentral:rRNA from 1 species
UACAGAGAGUGCGAACGUUGUUCGGGAUUACUGGGCUUAAAGCGCACGUAGGCGGCAUCGUAAGUGUCCGGUGAAAUCCCACGGCUCACCCGUGGAACUGCCUGGCAGACUGCGAUGCUCGAGUGUGGUAGGGGAGAGCGAAACUCCUGGUGGAGCGGUGAAAUGCGUAGAUAUCAGGAGGAACACCGGUGUCGAAGGCGGCUCUCUGGUCCAUGUCUGACGCUGAGGUGCGAAAGCUAGGAGAGCAAACUGG